GGAAUGUAGCUCAGUUGGUAGAGUGCUUGCCUUGCAGGCACAGGCCCUGGGUUCAAUUCUCAGCACCA
rnacentral:tRNA from 1 species